rnacentral:rRNA from 1 species
UACGAAGGGGGCGAGCGUUGUUCGGAAUCACUGGGCUUAAAGAGUGCGUAGGUGGAUUUGCAAGUCAGGAGUGAAAUCCCGGGGCUCAACCCCGGAACUGCUUUUGAAACUGCAAGUCUAGAGUCCCGGAGGGGUUAGGAGAAUUCCGAGUGUAGAGGUGAAAUUCGCAGAUAUUCGGAGGAAUACCAGUGGCGUAGGCGCCUAACUGGACGGGCACUGACACUGAGGCACGAAAGCGUGGGGAUCAAACAGG